rnacentral:rRNA from 1 species
UACGUAGGGUGCGAGCGUUGUCCGGAAUUAUUGGGCGUAAAGGGCUCGUAGGCGGUUUGUCGCGUCGGGAGUGAAAACACCGGGCUUAACUCGGUGCUUGCUUUCGAUACGGGCAGACUAGAGGCAUGCAGGGGAGAACGGAAUUCCUGGUGUAGCGGUGAAAUGCGCAGAUAUCAGGAGGAACACCGGUGGCGAAGGCGGUUCUCUGGGCAUGUCCUGACGCUGAGGCGCGAAAGCUAGGGGAGCAAACGGG